rnacentral:rRNA from 1 species
GUGCCAGCCGCCGCGGUAAUACGGAGGGUGCGAGCGUUAUUCGGAUUUAUUGGGCGUAAAGGGCACGUAGGCGGCCAUUUAAGUCAGAUGUGAAAGCCCGGGGCUCAACCCCGGAAGUGCAUUUGAUACUGGAUGGCUUGAGUAUGGGAGAGGGAAGUGGAAUUCCUGGUGUAGAGGUGAAAUUCGUAGAUAUCAGGAGGAACACCGGUGGCGAAGGCGACUUCCUGGACCAAUACUGACGCUAAUGUGCGAAGGCGUGGGGAGCAAACAGGAUUAGAAACCCCUGUAGUCC